rnacentral:rRNA from 1 species
UACAGAGGGGGCAAGCGUUAUUCGGAAUUAUUGGGCGUAAAGGGCGCGUAGGCGGCCAUUCAAGUGACGGGUGAAAGCCCUCGGCUUAACCGAGGAACUGCCUGUCAGACUGGAUGGCUUGAGACCGGGAGAGGUGAGUGGAAUUCCCAGUGUAGCGGUGAAAUGCGUAGAUAUUGGGAGGAACACCAAUUGCGAAGGCAGCUCGCUGGGACGUUACUGACGCUGAGACGCGAAAAGCGUGGGGAGCAAACAGG